CAGCUAGUUGGUGAGGUAAUGGCUCACCAAGGCGACGAUCAGUAGCUGGUCUGAGAGGAUGAUCAGCCACAUUGGGACUGAGACACGGCCCAAACUCCUACGGGAGGCAGCAGUGGGGAAUAUUGGACAAUGGGCGCAAGCCUGAUCCAGCCAUGCCGCGUGAGUGAUGAAGGCCCUAGGGUUGUAAAGCUCUUUUGUGCGGGAAGAUAAUGACGGUACCGCAAGAAUAAGCCCCGGCUAACUUCGUGCCAGCAGCCGCGGUAAUACGAAGGGGGCUAGCGUUGCUCGGAAUCACUGGGCGUAAAGGGUGCGUAGGCGGGUCUUUAAGUCAGGGGUGAAAUCCUGGAGCUCAACUCCAGAACUGCCUUUGAUACCUGAAGAUCUUGAGUUCGGGAGAGGUGAGUGGAACUGCGAGUG
rnacentral:rRNA from 1 species